UAGUAUGCAUGUAUACCUCUGCUUACAAGC
rnacentral:piRNA from 1 species